CCCUUAGAUGUUCUGGGCCGCACGCGCGCUACACUGACGAUGGCAACGAGUUUUUCCUUCGCCGAAAGGUGUGGGUAAUCUUUUGAAACAUCGUCGUGCUGGGGAUAGAUCAUUGCAAUUUUUGAUCUUGAACGAGGAAUUCCUAGUAAGCGCGAGUCAUCAGCUCGCGUUGAUUACGUCCCUGCCCUUUGUACACCCCGCCCGUCGCUACUACCGAUUGAAUGGUUUAGUGAGGACUCCUGAUUGGCGCCGCCGCCCCGGCAACGGAGCAGCGGACUGCCGAAAAGUUGUUCAAACUUGAUCAUUUAGAGGAAGUAAAAGUCGUAACA
rnacentral:rRNA from 1 species